UUGCUCCAAGCGGACUCCUACUUGAGCGCCGCAUUCGCAGUGACGGCGCUAGGCAAGUGUCAAUCAAUUGCUCCAGUGAGAAUCACUCAUCUGUUGUCGUCACCAUGGCCACCGCCCUACCUCCAGAUGGACGUCUCGAGUCCACCCCCAUGCCUGAUGUUGGCUCCCCAUUCAACUCUUUGCCCCAACCCCAUUCUACAGCAGGAGGGAAACACAACCCAGAUCCACCUAACGCCCGCACCUUCAGCUCGCCAUCGCUCCUCAGCGUCCCUGCAUCGCAACCUUCGAGAAGGAACUUACGAGGGCCUCCGCGGCUCCAAGACGAGACCUUUGGGGCCGUGGUGGGGUUGGCCGGUGCGAGGAACCAGAGGCAGGCGUGGAGCCACGAGGCCUCCGCCGUCGGCACCCGCGUGGAGUCGGUACGGGAUCAACAGGUAAUUUUUUAUUUUAGCCUGCUGAUGCAUUUCAGACAUUUAGCUUUGUUAAAAUAUGUUCAUUUUUUUUAAAAAAAUUUGGUUCUUCAUACUUGGACAUAAUAUCAAUUACUACUCCAUAUAGCAACAUUGAAGAAGUUUCGUAGGUGUGCUGCCCCUCUCUCUCUCUCUUCAUACUAUCCAUGUUUUGUAACAGAAUCAACUUGACUUGGAAAGAAUUUAUAAUCUUUUGUAUUUUUUAGGAGUUUGUAAGAGCAUCUCCAACAACUGCUCAAAUUCAAUUGGUAUUCUUAUUAUUUUGAGAAAAACAUAAAAACACCUCUCCAACAACUCUUUAAAUUCAGUUGGUAUAUUUCCCAACUUGGUAAACAUCGACUCCGCACGCGUAAAUCUCCUCGCGCGGCGUAGACUCCCUAUCGCGGUUUUCGACUUCGACGGCCUCUCCCGCGCGCGCGAGCGAUCCUCCCCAUCGCUGAAGACUCGGCCGUCCCUGAUCGAGUUCUCCCUCCCCGUCGCUGCUGCUGAACGCGCGCCGUCUCCCUUCCCGUCGCGCAAGCGCAAGAAGCCCCGGCCGUCUCCCUUCCCGUCCCGUCGCGCCAUGAACUGAUGUCUGAUCGGAGGACCUACUCACCAAAAACGGAGGAGGAUGAGAUGAUGCAGGGAAGUGCUGGCUACUCGGUGACGCUUCGUUACGUGAAGUGCUGGCCGGAGUAUACGAGCUGAACGACGACGGCUUGUGAAGUGCUGGCCGGAGUAUACAAGCUGAACGACGACGGCUUCGUUCGGCGAAGCUUCGAUCCAUGAACGCCGGCUUCGUUCGGCGAAGCUUCGAUCCAUGAACACCGGCUUCGUUCAGCAAAGCUUCUGCGAACACAUGGUUUUUACAUAACCAUUGUGGAGUACCCUUGUUGUGUGAUGAGCGAUUGUCAACAUGCCAACAUUUUGGUAGGUUGUUGGUUCGGUGGUUCUACUGAUAUCCUGGCACAGGGUUAUGUGUCGAAACGGUGUCUCUUGGCUUCAUGAUGUGCAGGUGUGGAGUCUGGAUGCGGUGGCAGCGGUCGGGUGAAGGUCAAGUAGGGCGUGCCGUGCUGACGGACUGGUUGCGGUGAAAGGAUGGACGUGAGACUUGGACUGACGGACCAGGAGGCCGGAUGACCAGCCGCAGUGGCUGACAUCUGGGACAUUGACAAGUGCAAGAGUACAUGGGAGUGACCGUGUUGACCAAGUCAAGACGGCGGACGCGAGUCGAGCGAGGCUCAGGAGGACUUAGCGGGCCGGCCGGUCGAAGACGGUGGUGACACGUGUCGAGUGGCGGGGAAGCGUAUGGAGUACGCUACUCACGGCGGGUUUCGCGGGUUUGGGCCUCAAAACCCGGGCGGAGGUCCCGAUGCGGACGGAUGGCACGUGGCGGCAUCGGUGAGAUCGCUUCGGAGCGAGGCUACCGGUGAGGAGGCGCGGUGGCCGUCGGAUUUAGGUCAUGUCGAGUUGGACUAGAAUGCCCCUGGGGCUAGCUAGUUCGCUCAAAAAUAUCUAGGGAUAUUUGGAGAAUAUGUAAUAUGUCUGAUAAAUAAACCGGGGGAGUUCCCAAUCUCCCUAUCUCUCUCUCCUCUCUCUUUUCCACCGUCUCUCCCUUCUGUUAUCCCGUUCUUGAGCAGUAGGUUCCUCCCCCUUGAGUUCUUUCAUGUGAGAGGUCCAAAAAUUCCAAAAAUCUGUGUAACAAACUUGUGAUUUUCGGUUUGGGAAUGGAGGCCCGAAUCCUCCUCGUGCCCUCUGGGAUUCGUGGCAUAUACGUGUGAUUUUGUCUUCACUAUGUUCUUGAGUGUUUCUCUUUUUCGGGGUUAGCUGUGAUCUGAAUUUCCCAGAGUGUGGGUUAAUCUCAGACGAUGAUUUUUGGGGAGUCGUUUCGUGUCUAGGUAAAUUUCAUCUGUGCCAAGUUUGGAAGUGAUUCAUGGAGUUUUUGUUUGGAUUUCUGUGAUUUUUGGGUCGUCCUUCUUUCUCUGUUCGUGGCUAGCAGUAGCUCUGUUCGUGGUGUUUGUUCUUUGCCUGUGUCGUUGGGGAUUCUGUAGUUGGGGCGAGCAGAAGUGCUACCAACGUCAAGCGCUUAGGCGUCUUGCGUGCUUGAUUCAAGCAGUACUCUCUCCUGUGCCUAAAGGUUCGUUCUUGCUCUGCGAGUCUAGUUUUCUUGUUCUUGAGCUGAGUACGGAAGUCACCGAUGCAGUGGGAUUCAGGCAGUGCAGACCCUGCUUAUUCCCAGCAGCCACGUUCAGGAGCACCAGCACUGUGCGCAUCUAGCGCCUGGUAGCGCCAGCGUCCGUGCGGGAGCUCGUUGAGAGUUCCUCUGUCCCUUUGGCAGCAGGAAGGUGUCUGCUCAAACUCUGAUCUUCUCGUUCGUGCAGGUUCUCCACUGGUUUCCUGAGCAAAUCAGCACCACAGUAUGCUUGUUUUUGGUGGGUUGUUCGUCGUGCCAGAGCUCGGUACCGAGUAGGCUUGAUCGUUCGUCCUGCCUGUUCUGCGUAUUGAUCAGGACCUUCCAGUUCGUUUUGUUUGAGCAAGGUCAUAGCUGUGCUCGUGUUUUGUUUUUCUUGCAGAUCAAGUGUAGCAGGCAAUUCUUGUCCAGCAGCAAGGUUUUUGUUUUGUUCUCUCGUGAUUUGAUUUUCCCUCUUAUGUUGUCACUUUCAAGCUACAGAAGCCUAAGCUAUUGCUUGCUCUUUUAGCUAGUCUUUUCCUGUACGAGUGAUUUCUAUUGCUUUCAAAUAAGUAUCGUUUUUCAAUUUUGCUCAGCAGUGCCUGCUACGAGCAUUUUGCCCAGGCAACACAGGACCGUAGCACUUGUUCAUGUGUGGCAGUAAAAAGAAUUAAUACAACCAGUGCCUGAUGCUAUGAUUGCUGUCUGUAUUUUUGGGUUGUAUCUCUUAGGCUGUUUUCAGUCCUUUUUCCCAGCCACGAUUUCUUGUUUCGCUCGUAAUUUGGUCGAUGAGCUCCGAUUCGUGUUCCGUUUGUUUCGUUAGCUUCCUACCGUUCCGAAGAAUUUUUCUAGAUACUCUCGGCACUAGUUCGCUAGAGUAUUUUAGUUUUGGAUUGUGUUUGCGCUUGGCGGUGAUUUUGGGACAGCGGCUAAAUAUUUCGAAAGAAAUUUGAGGCUCCCAUUCAUCCCCCCUCUGGUCGCCUUUUUCGGUCCUUCAGCUUCGAUCUGUGAAGCAGCGUUGCGGUCGACCGACGGCGGCGGCCACGCACGAGACGCGCAGUGUAUCAGUCAUUGGCUAAAGACCCAUCAAGGGUGCCUCUAUUGGUCAGCAGCCCUGGAGAUAACAGUGAGUGGGUGUUCCAGAAGUAUGGUCACUAGAGAGUGGCUUCGGCAUGGAGUUGCUUCAUGUUUCUCGUAGUUUAGCAGUAGUGUUUCUUGUAGCUUCCACGAAAUAGCACAAAAGAUUGUUGAGGUGAUUGCCAAGUCUUGCUUGGAGAAAGGGCUUGAAGUCUGCUAGAGAGCACAUGCUUGAAUUUUUUUCAUAUAUUCAAGAUCAUUUAUAUUCUCUAUUUUCUCCAUAUGUAGAACAUAGUUCUUUUGUAGGCCUUGGCCUUGUGCAGGGUGCAGACAUGGUCAGUCUUUGAUCACGUCAUAUUUUGUAAGAGUCUUGUGUUCUGAUGCUUUUCUAAUUUAAUAUUAGCAUACA